rnacentral:rRNA from 1 species
CCGCGGGAACACCGGCGGCCCGAGUGGUGAUCGUGAUUAUUGGGUCUAAAGGGUCCGUAGCCGGUUUGGUCAGUCCUCCGGGAAAUCUGAUAGCUCAACUAUUAGGCUUUCGGGGGAUACUGCCAGACUUGGAACCGGGAGAGGUAAGAGGUACUACAGGGGUAGGAGUGAAAUCUUGUAAUCCCUGUGGGACCACCUGUGGCGAAGGCGUCUUACCAGAACGGGUUCGACGGUGAGGGACGAAAGCUGGGGGGCACGAACCGGAUUAGAUACCCGGGUAGUCCCAGCCGUAAACGAUGCUCGCUAGGUGUCAGGCAUGGCGCGACCGUGUCUGGUGCCGCAGGGAAGCCGUGAAGCGAGCCACCUGGGAAGUACGGCCGCAAGGCUGAAACUUAAAGGAAUUGGCGGGGGAGCACAACAACGGGUGGAAGCCUGCGGUUUAAUUGGACUCAACGCCGGACAACUCACCGGGGGCGACAGCAAUAUGUAGGCCAAGCUGAAGACUUUGCCUGAAUCGCUGAGGGGUGGUGCAUGG